CGUGCCUAAUACAUGCAAGUCGAACGGUCUUUCUAUGGAAGCUUGCUUCCACUGAGAAGAUAGUGGCGAACGGGUGAGUAACACGUGGGUAACCUGCCCAUAAGAGGGGGAUAACAUCCGGAAACGGGUGCUAAUACCGCAUAGUUUUCUUGAUCGCAUGAUCGGGAAAGGAAAGACGGCCUUUGUGCUGUCGCUUAUGGAUGGACCCGCGGCGUAUUAGUUAGUUGGUGAGGUAACGGCUCACCAAGACGAUGAUACGUAGCCGACCUGAGAGGGUGAUCGGCCACAUUGGGACUGAGACACGGCCCAAACUCCUACGGGAGGCAGCAGUAGGGAAUCUUCCGCAAUGGACGAAAGUCUGACGGAGCAACGCCGCGUGAGUGAAGAAGGUUUUCGGGAAUCGUAAAACUCUGUUGUCAGAGAAGAACAAGUUGGAGAGUAACUGCUCCAGCCUUGACGGUAUCUGACCAGAAAGCCACGGCUAACUACGUGCCAGCAGCAGC
rnacentral:rRNA from 1 species